rnacentral:misc_RNA from 1 species
GAUGAAGAACUUAGUGAAAUGCGAUAAGUAAUGUGAAUUGCAGAAUUCAGUGAAUCAUCGAAUCUUUGAACGCACAUUGCGCCCGCCAGUAUUCUGGCGGGCAUGCCUGUUCGAGCGUCAUUUCAACCCUCAAGCCCCCGGGCUUGGUGUUGGGGAUCGGCGUGCCCUCGCGGCGCGCCGUCCCCUAAAUCUAGUGGCGGUCUCGCUGUAGCUUCCUCUGCGUAGUAGCAACACUCGCACUGGAUCGCAGCGCGGCCACGCCGUUAAACCCCCCACUUCUGAAAGUUUGACCUCGGAUCAGGUAGGAAUACCCGCUGAACUUAAGCAUAUCAAUAAGCGGAGGA